UACGUAGGGGGCUAGCGUUGUCCGGAUUUAUUGGGCGUAAAGAGCGUGUAGGCGGCCAGGUAGGUCUGGUGUGAAAACUCGAGGCUUAACCUCGAGAUGUCAUCGGAAACCAUCUGGCUAGAGUCCGGAAGAGGAGAGUGGAAUUCCCGGUGUAGCGGUGAAAUGCGCAGAUAUCGGGAAGAACACCUAUGGCGAAGGCAGCUCUCUGGGACGGUACUGACGCUGAGACGCGAAAGCGUGGGGAGCAAACAGG
rnacentral:rRNA from 1 species